AACUAGCGCUCCUGCCCUGCAGGGGGCGCGCUAUGGUGCGCUCAGCUUCUCUCGUUCGGGGGCGCGCGCAGUGAGACAGACAGGCUGCCACGUAAUCCAGCAGCGCGUUGACUGCACACCGCAGGCUUCAAGCGGUAGAAUCGGUAGCGGCGUUUUCAGCCUUGGGAGUUGCUGGAAAGUAGGAGAGUGACAAGACGGACAUAGACCAUACAAGAGAAAAGCCAACGGAGAAGAGUUAGCGGGUUGCUGGGGCAGGAACCUGUUUGAGGAGCUUUGGAAGCAAGGCAGCACUGGACAAGGUAGUGAUUCUGAUACUUGUCCCCUGCUUUUUUGGACAUGUGGUGACCAACAUUACAGUUGAAGCCCAGUCCCACCUUCCCAACCCCACUUGCAUCUCGGACUGGAGGGCAUCUUGACGUCACGCCAGACGCCG